rnacentral:rRNA from 1 species
CCUACGGGAGGCUGCAGUGGGGAAUAUUGGACAAUGGGGGGAACCCUGAUCCAGCCAUGCCGCGUGUGUGAAGAAGGCCCUCGGGUUGUAAAGCACUUUCAGUGAGGAAGAACGCCUGGUGGUUAAUACCCAUCAGGAAAGACAUCACUCACAGAAGAAGCACCGGCUAACUCCGUGCCAGCAGCCGCGGUAAUACGGAGGGUGCGAGCGUUGAUCGGAAUUACUGGGCGUAAAGCGCGCGUAGGUGGCUUGAUAAGCCGGUUGUGAAAGCCCCGGGCUUAACCUGGGAACGGCAUCCGGAACUGUCAAGCUAGAGUGUAGGAGAGGAAGGUAGAAUUCCCGGUGUAGCGGUGAAAUGCGUAGAGAUCGGGAGGAAUACCAGUGGCGAAGGCGGCCUUCUGGACUGACACUGACACUGAGGUGCGAAAGCGUGGGUAGCAAACAGGAUUAGAUACCCUUGUAGUC